UCCUGAUUAUAAGACUAAAUCGUUAUGACACGUCCCAUUCCAUGCCACACAAUUCCGUCCCAUAAUCCGACACAUCAAUUUCACUCAACAUGCAUUCCAAUUGUUAUUCACUGCCACACAAGGGCAUAGCCUACUCGCUGUUCGGCUAUCUACUGACAUAUAGCCAGGCAUCGCCUCCCCACCUUGGAGCGCGGCUUCGUCAGUACAUCGACGGCGUUCCCGAAGGAGCAUGGGCCCAAAAUCAACUGCGACCCGCAACCACUGCGUGGGCAUCCCAUAUAGG
rnacentral:lncRNA from 1 species